rnacentral:rRNA from 1 species
UACAGAGGUCCCGAGCGUUGUUCGGAUUCACUGGGCGUAAAGGGUGCGUAGGUGGCUGGGAAAGGUUGAUGUGAAAGCUCAGGGCUUAACCCUGAAAUGGCAUUGAAUACUGCCUGGCUGGAGGUUUGGAGGGGGGACUGGAAUUCUUGGUGUAGCAGUGAAAUGCGUAGAUAUCAAGAGGAACACCAGUGGCGAAGGCGAGUCCCUGGACAACACCUGACACUGAGGCACGAAAGCCGGGGGAGCAAACAGG